GUAGGUCAGUGAUACAGGUAGAGUAGAGGACUGUAGGUCAGUGAUACAGGUAGAGUGCAGUGAUACAGGUAGAUGACAGUAGGUCAGUGAUACAGGUAGAGUAGAGGACUGUAGGUCAGUGAUACAGGUGGAGUGCAGUGAUACAGGUAGAGUAGAGGACUGUAGGUCAGUGAUACAGGUAGAGUGCAGUGAUACAGGUAGAUGACAGUAGGUCAGUGAUACAGGUAGAGUAGAGGACUGUAGGUCAGUGAUACAGGUGGAGUGCAGUGAUACAGGUAGAGGUCAGGGCUCACCU